UCAGUUGGUCCGUGGGAAUAUUUUUGUACGUAUCAUAUUAUAGAUGUAUUAUACAUAUAGUUCAAUAUGUCAAUAUGAGGAUAUCGCAUUAUAACCUCCGCGCAUGCGCAAACCUCGCUAUUUAUAUUCUGACAGCUGGCUGCUAGCCAAUUCUUAAAUCAAGUCAAAAUGAGAGUUUCAAGAUUCAAAACUUCAAGCUCCAGGAUAUCUUCGAUCUCAACUACUUCAAUUCUAUCCUUCUCUGGCACGAAGAGCAAGAUGGCGAUGGCGCGAUUUAUGCUGCUGGCAUCCAUUAAAAGAAAAGACGGGAUUAUGGCUAGGAUAGGAAGCUGAACAUCAGAUCGGAAUUCGAGGACGGGCGAGGAAUGGUUCUCUAGGUCCCCCUAGGUAUAGGGAGUGAUGUGAUCCCAAUAAUCAACCAACCUAAAACAGAGUAGACGACUAUCUGUUCAACUAAACUAAACUGAUUUGACUUUCUACUAACAAUUUAAAGUAGAAACUUGACAUUCUACCGAGAUUUACACUAACCUGAUUUAUAUAUAUAUAUAUAUUUACUUUAUUUUGAAGUAUUACAUAAUGCUGGCGCAGCUUGAAGUUUGAUAAGGGAGGGUGAUGUAUACUAAAGGACAACUUUUACUCGCGCGUUUUUAAACUUAUGAAUAAUUUUUAAUUAAUUUAUCUGUACGAAAUGCGCCAUGCUGAUGUGUAGUUUUUUUAUUUUAAAUUUAUUACAGGGUUACCCACAAAUGAGAUCUGUUAUUUUUUCGUUAAAAUCCCUUGAUAUAUCUUAUAUAACUUGUGGACCACCCUUUAGUUUGUCUAUUCUUAACUCGAGUAUUUAGCACAUGUAGAACUACUAUCAAGUUUUGUGCUGUAGAAUUGCUUCUGGGAAGGAACUGCGUUUUCGCCACAAACUCGCAUCUUUAAAGUCUUAUAUCUUUGAAAACUGAUGGUGUAAACCAGCGCUUUGGAUACGGAUCCAAGGGGGCAAAUUAUCUACCAAAAACAACACGCGAAAAAUGAGAAUUCUAAAUUUCUGCUCAGUUAAAAUUUUUGGCAAACUUUUAAGAAAUUACCUGUAUCCGCAUCAAAAUAAAAUGGAUCCUUAGCACUGGUGUAAACCACUGAUAUUUCAUACUAUGACUAUUUAAACUAACAGAAUUCAAAGUUUGACAUAUCACAGAUCUACAACAUUGCGUUUUAAAGGUAUUGGGAUUAGUAAAUAGAGUUUCUGACAAAAACUCAAUUUCUUCACAUUAUUGAAAUGGAUAGUUUGAUCCAUUUUUAGUAACUUUUAACACUACUUCAAGUGAUUUGAUUAAGAGCUGGAGAACCCCUUAAUUUCAUAUAUGAUUUCAGUUACAGCCUUACAUUUCAGAAUUUUUUUUUUCUUUCGGGCAAAUCUAGAAUUUUUAUUUGUUCUACAUUGUAGCCAUUUCAUUAUGCUGAUACGAUAUUAGGUUUAAAAUAUUAAAAAUUAUUGCUUAUGUAUUAAAUUUUGUAUAUUUUUUUUCUUAUGCUUUAGUGUUAAAAAGUAGACUCUUCGUAUACCUGUUCUUUAGAUUUAAGCGUUAAUGCUUGUCAAUUCUUUUUCUCUGUGUGCAUUCUAAAUUUAGUCUUGUUGUUGUGCCCAAUUUUAAAUGUAAAUUGUAAUUGUGACUUGUGUUUUUCCAAACCUUUUUUAGUUUUUUUCUAUGUCUUAGUUUUCGUAUAACUUUACUCGAAAUUGAAGAAACCAGAGCUGACAACUUUAGACUGGGAUACUCUUCUUACCGAUUGUUUAAUCAGAACGUCCUCUGGAUACUUUUGAUUUCUGCUUAAUCCACUUUUAAUUUCAUUACUGGAUUUGGACCAAUGAGGACAUCAAAUAGCGCGCAAAAUUUCAAACUAGGCUUCUGAUUGACUUUGCGGGGUUUAACACAUUCCACUCUGAUUGUUUGAAUUUUAGAAACUCCUAAAUACAAAUUUUAGGUGUUAAAAAAGAAUUGAUCUCGAUUUCCCCAAUUA